AUUGAACGCUGGCGGCAGGCCUAACACAUGCAAGUCGAGCGGAUGAAGGGAGCUUGCUCCUGGAUUCAGCGGCGGACGGGUGAGUAAUGCCUAGGAAUCUGCCUGGUAGUGGGGGAUAACGUCCGGAAACGGGCGCUAAUACCGCAUACGUCCUGAGGGAGAAAGUGGGGGAUCUUCGGACCUCACGCUAUCAGAUGAGCCUAGGUCGGAUUAGCUAGUUGGUGGGGUAAAGGCCUACCAAGGCGACGAUCCGUAACUGGUCUGAGAGGAUGAUCAGUCACACUGGAACUGAGACACGGUCCAGACUCCUACGGGGGGCAGCAGUGGGGAAUAUUGGACAAUGGGCGAAGGCCUGAUCCAGCCAUGCCGCGUGUGUGAAGAAGGUCUUCGGAUUGUAAAGCACUUUAAGUUGGGAGGAAGGGCAGUAAGUUAAUACCUUGCUGUUUUGACGUUACCAACAGAAUAAGCACCGGCUAACUUCGUG
rnacentral:rRNA from 1 species